rnacentral:tRNA from 1 species
GGGGCUGUGGGGUAGCUUGGUCCAUCCUAUGAGCUUUGGGAGCUCGUGACGGCGGUUCAAAUCCGCCCAGCCCCA